rnacentral:rRNA from 1 species
AGAGUUUGAUCAUGGCUCAGGAUGAACGCUAGCGGCAGGCUUAACACAUGCAAGUCGAGGGGCAGCGGGGUGUAGCAAUACACUGCCGGUCGACCGGCGCACGGGUGCGUAACGCGUAUGCAACCUACCCAUAACAGGGGCAUAACACUGAGAAAUUGGUACUAAUUCCCCAUAACAUUCGAAGAGGCAUCUACUUUGGGUUGAAAACUCCGGUGGUUAUGGAUGGGCAUGCGUUGUAUUAGCUAG